rnacentral:rRNA from 1 species
CCUGAGAGACGGCUACCACGUCCAAGGACGGCAGCAGGCACGCAAAUUACCCAAUCCCAGCAACUGGGGGAGGUAGUGACGAAAUCUAACGAUGCGGGCGCCCUAUUUGGGGCCCCGCAAUCGGAAUGAGCACUUUCUAAACAACCUGUUGAGAACCUACUGAAGGGCAAGUCUGGUGCCAGCAGCCGCGGUAAUUCCAGCUUCAGCAGCAUCUAUUAAAGUUGCUGCGGUUAAAAGGCUCGCAGUUGAAUGUCAGUAUCGAGCGCAGGUCAGGUGGACGCUGGGGCGUGGGAACACAAGGCGCGGUACGGGCCCUUGCCUCGUGCUUGUGGUACCGGCCGUGUCUCUCACAUACCCCCGUCCGUUACAAGCCUCCUCGCUCGCGUACAUAUCGGAAUUGGUCAAACGGAGUGUGCGCAGUCCUUUGCGUUUCUCGUCUUCAGGCCGCGUUCGCGCGUGUCGGUUGGUGGGUGCGUGCGGGGCUCGCACGUUAAGCUCCUUCGGUUUCAUGGUCACCUUGAGUAAAUCAGAGUGCUCAAAGCAGUCGUAGGGGCCUUGCGCCCUGUGAACAGUCUUGACGGACUGACUUGGUUUUGCAUGGCAUGUCGGAAGACGACGUCGUGUGCUGGCUCAGAGAUUAUCAGUGGUGCAAGCCAGCCUCGACGUACUGAUUAACAGGGACGGUCGAGGGCAUUGGUAUUGCGAGGCGAGAGGUGAAAUUCUAUGACCCCCGCAAGACCUCCUGAAGCGAAAGCGUCUGCCAAGGACGUUUUCAUUAAUCAUGAACGAAAGUUAGAGGAUCGAAGGCGAUCAGAUACCGCCCUAGUUCUAACCCUAAACGAUGCCAACCAUCAAUCCGCGCGUAGCUCCCAUCUUAACGGGCUCGGCGGGCAGCUCCCCACUCACGGGAAACCAGAGUCUCUGGGUUCCGGGGGGAGUCUGGUUGCAAAGCUGAAACUUAAAGGAAUUGACGGAAAGGCACCACCAGGCGUGGAGCCUGCGGCUUAAUUUGACUCAACACGGGCCAUCUCACCAGGCCAGCACUCUUGUACGAUUGACAGAUUGAGAGCUCUUUCUCGAUUCAGUGGAUGGUGGUGCAUGGCCGUUCUUAGUUGGUGGAGUGAUCUGUCUGGUUAAUUCCGAUAACGAACGAGACUCUCCCCUGCUAACUAGUCGGCUGGAUCUUUAUCGGUGAGUUGUGUGCCGAGAACACCUGGGUGCGGGCGCGUGGGGUUGCUGCGGUUUUACCAAGGCUCUCCCGUGCUUCGUUUUCCGGGCCUCGGGCCACACACUCCAAGUCCGCCGCUUAUUGUAUAACUCUUCUUAGAGGGAUUCACGGUUCUGAAGCCGUCAGAGACUGAGAGCAAUAACAGGUCUGUGAUGCCCUUAGAUGCUCUGGGCCGCACGCGCGCUACAAUGCCGGGCACAGCAGGUGUUUCUCCUGCUCCGACAGGAGCAGGUAACCCUCUGAAAGCCACUGUUUUUGUCGUGUCUGACACGAAAGGCGUGCUUGGGCCUGGGGCUUGCAAUUCUUUCCCACCAACGAGGAAUGCCUAGUAGCGGCGGGUCACUGAGCCCGCUGUGACUCAGUCCCUGCCCUUUGUACACACCGCCCGUCGCUACUACCGAUUGGGUGUACCAGUGAGAGCCUUGGACUGGCGUCCGUUGCCUUCGGGCAAGCGGGUCCGACGGAAAGAGGUCCGAACUGGUGCACUUAGAGGAAGUAAAAGUCGUAACAAG